CCUACGGGGGGCAGCAGUGAGGAAUAUUGGUCAAUGGACGAGAGUCUGAACCAGCCAAGUAGCGUGAAGGAUGACUGCCCUAUGGGUUGUAAACUUCUUUUAUAUGGGAAUAAAAUGUUCCACGUGUGGGAUUUUGUAUGUACCAUAUGAAUAAGGAUCGGCUAACUCCGUGCCAGCAGCCGCGGUAAUACGGAGGAUCCGAGCGUUAUCCGGAUUUAUUGGGUUUAAAGGGAGCGUAGGUGGAUUGUUAAGUCAGUUGUGAAAGUUUGCGGCUCAACCGUAAAAUUGCAGUUGAAACUGGCAGUCUUGAGUACAGUAGAGGUGGGCGGAAUUCGUGGUGUAGCGGUGAAAUGCUUAGAUAUCACGAAGUACUCCGAUUGCGAAGGCAGUUCACUGGACUGCAACUGACACUGAGGCUCGAAAGUGUGGGUAUCAAACAGGAUUAGAUACCCCAGUAGUC
rnacentral:rRNA from 1 species